rnacentral:rRNA from 2 species
GUCUACAGCCAUACCACCCUGAAUGCACCGAUCUUGUCUGUUCUCAGAAGCUAAGCAAGGUCGGGCCUGGUUAGUACUUGGAUGGGAGAUUUUCCCAGAAUGUGAUGCGUAGUCA